GACGAACGCUGGCGGCGUGCUUAACACAUGCAAGUCGAACGGAAAGGCCCUGCUUUUGUGGGUUUCUCGAUUGGCGAACGUGUGAGUAACACGUGAGUAACCUGCCCUUUACUUUGGUAUAACUUCAGGAAACUGGGGCUCAUACCGGAUAUGAUCUCCUGCUUCAUGGUGGUGGUUGGAAAGUUUCGGCGGUUGGGGAUGGACUCGCGGCUUAUCAGCUUGUUGGUGGGGUAGUGGCUUACCAAGGCUUUGACGGGUAGCCGGCCUGAGAGGGUGACCGGACACAUUGGGACUGAGAUACGGACCAGACUACUAAGGGAGGCAGCAGUGGGGAAUAUUGCAGAAUGGGCGGAAGCCUGAUGCAGCAACGCCGCGUGCGGGAUGACGGCCUUCGGGUUGUAAACCGCUUUCGCCUGUGACGAAGCGUGAGUGACGGUAAUGGGUAAAGAAGCACCGGCUAACUACGUG
rnacentral:rRNA from 1 species